UAUGAAUUAUGACAUCUGAAUCAUAACACAAAUACAGAUUCCAUAAAGGCCUUAACAAGAUCUCAUCAUCAUCAUCAUCAAUGAGAGAUUUAUUAUUGACAAAAUAUUUAUAAUUGACAAUAAUAAUAAGCUUUUCCCAAAACGACUUAACCCUGUCUCUAAUAAUUAAGAAACCCACAACUUAUAAAUACUGUGAUAUUUAAACCAAGCUUUCUAAAGAUCGAGCCGCCGGCUAACCUUUUUUAGCCGGGGGUUCGAACCCAAACAAGGAUAAUACAAAAGCCAACCGAAACCAAGUUCGCCAAGCUUAUUCAUCCGCGGUGGUCCAAGUCAUAUCGUUCUCGAAAAUCCAGUGGCACACCUCGAUCCGACCCGGACCCGAACCCAAAGCCAAGAAUGCUCCGUGGGUGGGGCUCCAAGAGGAAGUAUCUAAGUGACAAAUGGCAACGCCGUGGUUGAUCUUUGCCUUGCUAUUUGGAUCCAAGAUGUCCGCUUCGUAAACCCGAACUUUGGGAACCGAGUGGCAGUAAUAGAGCAGGUAAGGGAACAAGCUCUGAUGACAAGAUACGGACUUGGUCACUUUUCCACCGUUUAUCCCUUUGAUUGAUCCGAUCAUGAUGUCCUUCUUUGAUCCGUUCACGUUUUCCGUCGUACUUGCCAACACAUUCUGGCCUAAGACCGAGGUGGCGAAGUCGAUCAAGUCCUCGGCAGAGCCCACGCAGCGCUUGGUCUCGCCGGGGCUAGGGGCUCUCUCGCACUCGUUAAGAGCGUCCAUAAUUAUCUUCUCCAUGGUGGAAUUAUCAGCAGCGUGGAAAGCUUCCUUGAGUAGGGUGAUCUUGGUGGUGGAGAAUGGUAAUUUUGAGGUGAUCGACCGGGGCAAAAACGACCUUUGUGGCAUUUUAUCUCUAAUGUCCGGCAUUGGCAUCACGUUACCCUUCUUCAGCUCAGACUCACGGAAGAAUUUGCCAGGCUCAAUCCACUUAUUUACCAAAUUACCACUAAGCUUAUUCGUAGUAGCUGUAGAGCUUAUAUUGCUGUACUCAGAAAAAGAGACAGUCUUCUUAUUGGCAUAAUCUUUGAAAGUGUUGUUCACUCCAUAGCCUGUGAACCCAAUCUUCUGCCCAUCUGCUCCUUCACCAUAUCCUGAGAAGGUAUCACUCCCCUCAUUGAAUGAUUUCCCAUAAUUAUUGAAAUUGACAUUUCCUUGAGUUGAUCUUUUAGCAUACGAUUGGAAGGAAUCGUCACCCACAUUGGAUUCAUCUCUGUAAUUGGUGAAGGUAUCAAAACUACCAGUUCCUUCAGCGCCGUAGUUCUUGAAAUUGUUCUCUGGGACAUUCCCAUUGAACCCAUAAGACUUGAAGGUAUCAUUAGCUCCAUUACUAUUCUCGCCGUAAUUCGUAAAAUCCGACUGAAUCGCAUUCGAGUUCUCUCCAUAGUUCGUAAACUCAUUAGGGACUGCAUUCCCGUUCUUCCCAUAACUGGUGAAUGAUUCGCUACCGGAGUUUGUGUCCCCUGUAUAACUGGAGAAACUUUGGGCCUUGACGUUCCCAUCAUCGGAAUAAGACGAGAACCGGAGAUUUGGGACAUUUACUUGCUCAUUGUAUUGCUUGAACUCGCUGGCGCCGCCUCUGCUCUGGGCACCGUAGGUGUUGAAGCUUUGGUCAACGACGUUCCCUUCAGAGCCAUAAGUUGAAAAUUUUUCGUUGUGAUCGAUGGAGGUGCGGCCGUAUCGGCGAAAAGAGUCGACAGGAAGAUUGUCGCCAUCUGAGUAGUUCUUGAACGAGUCGACUCCGUUCACCACACCCGUGCCAUAAUUGGUAAAGUUCUUGUUGAGGUAGACAGCAAAGUUGGAGUUUCCAUGGUGAUUUUCGAACCUGGGCGCUAAAUCUGGGAAGCAGAAGAGAUUGGCGGAGGAGCAGAAAGCGGAGAACUUAGUGGAGAGUGCGUUUUGGGCUGCGAGUUUGGUAAAAGUGGCGGCAUCCACGGCGUUCAAUGGGGAUGCCUUGGAUAGAAUGAAUGGAGAUUUCGGUAAAUUAUUGUGGAUCUCCUUGUCCCAAUACCGAAUAAGAAAUGCUUUUGGCGUAAGUGGGUUGUCACCGGCCAGCAGCACCCUAGCAGCACCGGCUAAACUCACAUUGAGCAAGAAUGGGAAGCAAAGGAAGACGAAGAAGAAGAGAGGGCUGAUGAGGUGAGUCUGCAUAUUGUUUUCAAGCAAAGACGAGUGAGAGUGAAGAAGUAUAUGAGAAGGUUUAGACGGAUGGGGAUAGAGAAAGAGAGUUUAUUUUUUCAGGAGUGGAUUUUUGGGUUUGGUUGGUGAGCUUUGACAAUGAGGCUCCUCUCCUCGGUUGAGCAUCACCAUUCACCAGGAGUUACCCAUAGGAUCUUGUUGGAACUCUCUCCAAAGCUAGGUAUAAUUUGGCACGCGGCCUCUUU
rnacentral:misc_RNA from 1 species